AUGAAUCGCCUGCUCCGCCGCUCCCGCUCCGCUGACCUCGACGCGGCGGCCAACCUCCCUCCUUUAGUUCCUCUUGCUGCCGUCCCACCCGCCCAUGCAGCUCCCGGCGCGGGCCUCCAUCCUCGGGCUCCGGCGCCCGCCCCGGUGCGCCACGUCAAUGUCGCACCCGCCGCGCCUGCGGCCGUUCGGGCGGCCCCUCCUGCGGCUCCCCUUCACCACGGCGUCGGCCGUGAGCUCAUCCCCUGCCUCGACAACGCGGGUGCACCGGCGCCGGCGCCAGCCGACGGUCUCCCUCCCACCAUCACGCACUUCCUGCGGUUCAAGCUCGACCUCGCCGUGGGUAACUACUCCAAAUGGCGCCACCUCUUCUAUUGUAUUCUCUGCAAGUACAAUGCGCAGCAGCAUGUAGAUGAAGACCGGGACCCCGCCCACGAGGAUGCAGUGUGGCGAAACGACGAUAUAACCAUCGUCUUGUGGAUGUCCUCCACGAUUUCUGAUGAGUUGUACGACGUCGUGGUGUCCCCUCCGAACAUUCCCACGGCGCACCAAAUCUGGCACACCCUCCGGCUGUUCUUCCUCGACAACCAGGCCGGUCGAGCGAUCCAUCUCUCGGCUGAGUUCCGCAGCACGGUGCAGGGGGACCUGACUGUGGCCGAGUACGCCCGCCGUCUACAGACGCUGGCGGCCGCGCUCGCCGACGUCGAGGAGCCCGUCACCGACCGCACCUUGACGCUCCAGUUCAUCCACGACCUCAGUCGUCGGUUCCACGUGCUCGCGACGGUCCUGCCGUUGCAGGUGCCGUUCCCCAACUUCGCGCAGGCCCGGUCGCGCCUCCUUCUUGAGGAAAUCACACAGAACGAGCGCGCUCGGGCUGACGGGCGCUCGGACGGCGCCACCGCGCUCUCCAUCGGCAACACCUCUGGAGGCUCCUCCGGGGGCGCUCGCGGCGAUCGCAACGUCUCCGGCAACCAGGCGGACAAGGGGAAGGCCCCCGCCGAGCCCUCCUCCGGCGGCGAUCGUGGUCGUGGCCGCGGGCGCGGGCGUGGUCGUGGCCGCGGGCACCCCGGCGCUGGCAGCAGCUCCACGGCUCCGGCAGGGCGCGGCUCUCCUCAGCAGCCGCUGGGCGCCCAUCCAUGGAUGGGGUACUUCGCCCCAUACGGGAGCCCCUUCCCACCUCCGCAGCAGCCGCGCGCGCCCUGGACCGCGCCCAACUCCGCCGGUGUCCUAGGGCCACGUCCUGGCCAGCACCAUCAGGUCUACAACGCCGGCGCGUCGAGCUCCUCCAACCCCGCCCCCUGGGACAACUACGCCGCCCUCCAUGCUGCCCUCAACAACAUCGCGCACCAGCAGCAGCACGGCUCCGGCGAGUGGUUCCUCGACACUGGAGCAACUUCCCACGUCACCGGUGAGACGGGACCUCAAAACCCGGCGCAUCCUAAUGACGUCCAGUAG
rnacentral:rRNA from 1 species